AAAGAUUGGCAUAUUAUUCAAUUCAACCCAUAGCUAAAAAACACUAACUGAAUAAAGUCAUGUCUCUCUUAGACAGCAGGAACACAGCAUUGUUUAUUAUACUGGUGGGGAUCGAGUUAUGAAUUUCAUCGAGUCUCAAUGAUUUCAGCCAAUGAGACAAUGCAGACUCUCAACUUUGUGGGAUAUAUUUAUAUAUAUAGCCUUGUUUAAUUUGGAAGGCAAGCAAAUUAC